AUUAGUGGCGGACGGGUGAGUAACGCGUGAGUAACCUGCCUUACACAAGGGGAUAGCCGUUGGAAACGACGAAUAAUACCCUAUGACAUAAACUCCUCGCAUGAGGAGCUUAUCAAAGAUUUAUCGGUGUAAGAUGGACUCGCGUCUGAUUAGCUAGUUGGUGAGGUAACGGCCCACCAAGGCGACGAUCAGUAGCCGGCUUGAGAGGGUGAACGGCCACAUUGGAACUGAGAAACGGUCCAAACUCCUACGGGAGGCAGCAGAC
rnacentral:rRNA from 1 species